AUGUUUUUCUUAUAGGAACAAUGCUGCUUUCAAGUGCAUACAGGGUGGUUCUUUUGUUCAGGCACCAGAAGAAAUUCUGGUACUUUCACAGCACCAGCCUCUCCCCAAGACCUUCCCCAGAGGAAAGUGCCACUCACACCAUCCUGCUGCUAACGAGCUUCUUUGUGGUCAUCUACUGGGUGGAUUUCAUCAUCUCAUUCACCUCAACCUUACUAUGGACAUAUGACCCUGUUGUCCUGGGUGUCCAGAGGCUUGUGGGCAAUGGAUGUGCCAUUGUCAGUCCUUUGGUGCUACUCAGAUAUGAUAAAAGGACAAUCAGUGUGAUGUAAACAGUGAGACAGAAGAUUAAAAAGUUAUUUUUAUUGAAAACAGAUUAUUCUGUCACCAGUUAAAUUACUUAAGUAGUACAGAACUUGCUAUCUAAUUUAACUUAAAUGUAUGGAUUUACACUUUCAA